CAGCAGCCGCGGUAAUACGGAAGGGGCAAGCGUUACCCGGAUUUACUGGGUGUAAAGGGUCCGCAGGCGGUCAGGUAUGUCAGUUUUGAAAUACUCUGGCUUAACCAGAGAAUUGGAACUGAAACUAUCUGACUUUGAGUCCAGAAGGGGGAAAUGGAACUGCUGGUGUAGCGGUGGAAUGCGUAGAUAUCAGCAGGAACACCUGUGGCGAAGGCGAUUUCCUAAUCUGGAACUGACGCUCAGGGACGAAAGCGUGGGGAGCGAUCGGGAUUAGAUACCCCGGUAGUCCACGCUGUAAACGAUGGGUGCCAGGUAUCGGUCUGGUAAAACGGAUCGGUGCCGAAGUUAACACGUUAAGCACCCCACCUGGGGACUACGGUCGCAAGGCUGAAACCCAAAGGAAUUGACGGGGGUCCGCACAACCGGUGGAACAUGUGGUUUAAUUCGAUGAUACGCGAAGAACCUUACCUGGGCUUGACAUAUACCUGGUAGGAGCCCGAAAGGGUAACGACCUAUCUUCCAAGAUAGGAGGGUAAACAGGAGGUGCAUGGCC
rnacentral:rRNA from 1 species